GAGCUAUCUGAACCUUCGGGGAACGAUAACGGCGUCGAGCGGCGGACGGGUGAGUAAUGCCUGGGAAAUUGCCCUGAUGUGGGGGAUAACCAUUGGAAACGAUGGCUAAUACCGCAUAAUAGCUUCGGCUCAAAGAGGGGGACCUUCGGGCCUCUCGCGUCAGGAUAUGCCCAGGUGGGAUUAGCUAGUUGGUGAGGUAAGGGCUCACCAAGGCGACGAUCCCUAGCUGGUCUGAGAGGAUGAUCAGCCACACUGGAACUGAGACACGGUCCAGACUCCUACGGGAGGCAGCAGUGGGGAAUAUUGCACAAUGGGCGCAAGCCUGAUGCAGCCAUGCCGCGUGUAUGAAGAAGGCCUUCGGGUUGUAAAGUACUUUCAGCAGUGAGGAAGGUGGUGUGCUUAAUACGCACAUCAUUUGACGUUAGCUGCAGAAGAAGCACCGGCUAACUCCGUGCCAGCAGCCGCGGUAAUACGGAGGGUGCGAGCGUUAAUCGGAAUUACUGGGCGUAAAGCGCAUGCAGGUGGUUUGUUAAGUCAGAUGUGAAAGCCCGGGGCUCAACCUCGGAAUUGCAUUUGAAACUGGCAGACUAGAGUACUGUAGAGGGGGGGUAGAAUUUCAGGUGUAGCGGUGAAAUGCGUAGAGAUCUGAAGGAAUACCGGUGGCGAAGGCGGCCCCCUGGACAGAUACUGACACUCAGAUGCGAAAGCGUGGGGAGCAAACAGGAUUAGAUACCCUGGUAGUCCACGCCGUAAACGAUGUCUACUUGGAGGUUGUGGCCUUGAGCCGUGGCUUUCGGAGCUAACGCGUUAAGUAGACCGCCUGGGGAGUACGGUCGCAAGAUUAAAACUCAAAUGAAUUGACGGGGGCCCGCACAAGCGGUGGAGCAUGUGGUUUAAUUCGAUGCAACGCGAAGAACCUUACCUACUCUUGACAUCCAUAGAACUUUCCAGAGAUGGAUUGGUGCCUUCGGGAACUAUGAGACAGGUGCUGCAUGGCUGUCGUCAGCUCGUGUUGUGAAAUGUUGGGUUAAGUCCCGCAACGAGCGCAACCCUUAUCCUUGUUUGCCAGCACUUCGGGUGGGAACUCCAGGGAAACUGCCGGUG
rnacentral:rRNA from 1 species